rnacentral:lncRNA from 1 species
AUCGGCCUGAACAUCAACCUGCAUGGACUUCAUGCUAGGCACAGUUACUGGAGCUGGAAGUUUGGCCAACUGUGCAACUAAAGCCGAUCCAGAAAUACCCGGAAUAUGAAGUGAUCUGGGCAUAGCAGCGAACAAAUUCAGUGCUGGAGAUUGAGCCAACACCUCCGCAAGGCUUGGAACUUGCUGGCUAUCAGAGGAUGAAACCCUAGCCGAGUUAGGGUUGGGGUUAUGGCCGACUGAGAUCACCACUGCCUCUAGGGCUCCAGUACAACCAGAUCGUGGGUGCUCCAUCAGCCCACAGACACUACAGAAUCCAACGAGACGUUCAUACUUGAAUCGAACCGUUGCAGAUGCUCCAAACGUGAAAUCAAAAGUGGAAGGAGGGAAAACCUGACUCACCGGGGUUGACAAAACAUGUCGGAUCCGAACCCUCGCCGUCCCCUUGCAAAUCCCUGGCAUGUCGAGGUGUAACACCUCCCCUAACGUAGCCCCAAUGAGCGCCACCGC